GGUCCUAUAGCUCAGUUGGUUAGAGCGUGGUGCUGAUAACGCCAAGGUCGCGAGUUCGACCCUCGUUGGGACCA
rnacentral:tRNA from 2 species